rnacentral:misc_RNA from 1 species
UAAAGCCGAUCAAUCACGUCU